GAAACAUGCUUAACUACGUUGAGGAAACUCACUUGUGGGAGCACUGUAAGCCCGCUGAGGAACACUGAAGAACCUCUUGAUUCGCUCACUGGAGGCCUACAGGUUUAACGCACUAAGAGACACUCAAGCGUCGUGUGUGUCUGUGUGGGCAACCCGGGAGCAGCGUAUGCAACACAGGCUGUGAGAGCCCACACACGAAUUCAGACUGUACGUACGAACCGCGCGCCCUGAACACGGCAGCUGGGCUACGCUUCGCAGGAAGCCUCAUUCCUGACCCCAAAGUUUCCGGAUGGACCCCCAAAAUGAACGAAACCAACGGAACCGAGAAAUAACCUGCUGGCUCUUGGAAAUCAAAAGCUCUGCGUCUCAGUGCCCGAUCUUUGGCCGAAGGAGGCUAUGGAGAAGGCUACACAGACACCAUCUACUCGCUGCCAUCUCCAGAGCUUUAGGGAGAACAACAUGACCACAAAGGUGAGGAGUUUUGAGAAGUCUUCAGAUGAUGGAUGAAUCUGCUGACAGACUCAUAAUGUCGUGUAGUUAUUGGGCAUUGGUGGAGGCCCUGAGAGGCAUGCUACAGAAAGUACAUCACUGGACUUUCAUUUCAUUCUGAGCACUUUCCUCUUCUGUCCUUUUCCUUGUCCCUCUUGUUUUCCCUCCCAUCCCUUCCCUUCUCCUUAACCCUCAGUUGGUAUGAAGUGCUCAUCUUUGCUCUUCUGCAUGCUCCCAUCAGCAUCAUGUCGCACUUUCCAGGAUACCUGACUUAAAUCAACAGGCUCAGAACCUCAGGCUGAAACCACAAGUCAUAAACCACAAACUGAAACCUUUCCUCCUGUACAGUGGCUUUAAUCAGAUAUUCUGUCAUAACAAGAAAAUAACACGGUGAUAAAUCUCAAAGUUGUCCUUCUACUGCUGCUGCUUUUAGCUGAACAUCAAACGAGGUUUAAUUGUUUAAUAUGCUAUAAAUUCACAUCCAUCUGUCAGCAUCUGGUGAUGAUAGACAUUUUUGGAAAAGUUGGUACAGACUGAUUAUUGGUUUGGGUUUCACUGACAGUUCAGAGAUGCAUAAGCUUGAGCCUGGAAAUUCAGUUCUCUGGGCAUAGUGCAUGGACCCACAUGUGUGAGUUCUUUAGUGGAUUCUCUCUUCAAGACUGUGACUGCUUUGUUUCAGGUUAUGCAUUGUGUCCGUCCCCUCUCAGGGCUGCUUUAGCCUUCUUUAUGUUGUUGUGAUGAAACACCUCAACGGAACAACUUUAAGGGAAGAGUUUAUUUACCUUGCAGUUCUGUGUUGUAGUCCAUCCUGACAGGAAAGUCAAAGCAGGUACUCAAAGCAGCUAGUCACACCCACAACCAAGAGCAGAGAGAGGGAGAGAGAGAGAGAGAGGGAGAGAGAGAGAGAGAGAGAUGUCUUCAUGACUACUCGUGCUCAGCUCUCUCAGCUCUCUCAGCUCUCUCUGUUCCUUAGACAUUCCAGGAUCCAAACCUAGGGAGUGGUGCCACCGGAAACGGCAGGUCUUCCCCCUGCAGAGAACAUAAUCAAGGCAAUCUCCCAUCAAACCAACCAAUGCUGUAGUGACUUCAUUUAUUCAGACAUGAAAUUCAUCCUUCUCCCAAAGCUGACAUGAACUGAACUACAACAACAGCAACAAAAAUACAAUCCCCCUUCAAACCUUUACCUGUCUAAAAUAAGAGGGAGGAUAUAUGUCCUUAGGAGGGAUUUUGGAAUGCAACAUUCUCAUUUUUUGGUAAACAUUUUUCACCCAUCUUACAAAUAAUGAGUUUCAUAGACCAUCUCACCUCAUGCUUCACUGAAAUCUCAAGCACAUUUUAGGUUCCUUCUCUUUCAUUAUGCUUCUGUUUUCCUUCCUUGAUUAUUUUCCUACAUUGUUCUAUUUAGCUAAAGAUUAUUCUCUAAUUCUAAAGGGAAGUGAAUUUAUGUUUUUCAACGCC